rnacentral:rRNA from 1 species
AACGAACGCUGGCGGCAUGCCUAACACAUGCAAGUCGAACGAUGCCUCCGGGCAUAGUGGCGCACGGGUGCGUAACGCGUGGGAAUCUGCCCUUGGGUUCGGAAUAACUCGCCGAAAGGCGAGCUAAUACCGGAUGAUGACGUAAGUCCAAAGAUUUAUCGCCCAAGGAUGAGCCCGCGUAGGAUUAGCUAGUUGGUGGGGUAAAGGCCCACCAAGGCGACGAUCCUUAGCUGGUCUGAGAGGAUGAUCAGCCACACUGGGACUGAGACACGGCCCAGACUUCCUCGGGAGGGAGCAGUGGGGAAUUUUGGAACAUGGGCCAAAGGCCUGUCCAACAAUGCCGGGUGAGUUAAUAAGGGCCUAGGGUUGUAAAGCUCUUUUACCCGGGAUGAUAAUGACAGUACCGGGAGAAUAAGCUCCGGCUAACUCCGUG